GUAGAGCGGGAGAAAGGAAAGGCCUGACUCAUGCCCUCAUUCAGAGGUCAAGCAGAGGAUAAGGAGCCAGCAAAGGAAACUAAGUCUGGGCUGCCAGUGAGGUCGGAGCAAAACCAGAAAGCAGCUGCCAUGGAAAAGAUAAGAAAAAUUGUUUCAAGAAGGAGGGUGGUCAGCCAUAUCCAACACUGCUGAGAGGGCCAGGAAGAUGAAGACAAAAUACUGACCAUUAGAUUUGAAAACCCAAAAGUCAUUGGUGACCUUGACAAGGACCAUUUUGGUGGAAAAGUAGAAUCAGGAGUCAACUAGGAGAGAAUGUGAGGUCAAGAAGCAGGGAGAGUAUCUACAGACAACAACAUCAAGACAAUCUGCUGUGAAGAUGAGCAGAGAAAUGAGCCAGAAACACAAAUGGAAUGCGGAACAAAGACAGGGUCUCACUCUCUUUCCCUGGCUGGAGUGCAUGGGUGUGAUCAUGGUUCACUUCAGCCUCAACCUCCUGGCCUCAAGCGAUCCUCCCACCUCAACUUCCCUAGUAACUGGAACUACAAAUGGACACCACCAUGCCCAGGUGACCAGCUCUGUGUUGACUUUCAAUACACUAAGCAUUCCAUCACCUGUUUUAUCUAGAGUUUAUCUCAACUAGUGAGUGUCUUAUUCUGAUGAUAAUAUUUUUACUUUUAAGAUUUAUUUCUAAUUUUGGAACUGAUUCUUUUUCAUAUUCAAAUGGUUUUGUUUCUGCCUAUUCUUCUUGUAAAAUAUCUUAAAUUUUGAUGGCUAUUAUUUUCCCCCUAAUUAACGUGUAAGCCUUCCCAAAAUACUUAUAUAAACAGUACCAGCUAUAAUAAAAAGUUAAUUUUAUUUGAAUUAGUUAAUUUUCUGAUUGUUGGUUUUGUUGGCUAUCUUCCUUAGCCUUUAGUUUCUUCAUAUGGUUUGAAAUUUAGCUUUUGAGGCUUAUUUAAGUGAGAGAAUUUUUGUGAUUGCUUUGUCUUCACGCCCCUUCUCUGACUUUACCCAUCUCUGUGUUUUCCUGCAUCUGGCCUCCUAUAGCCACUGUCCAGAACCUGGUUUGAUCAAAGCAGUUUGAGGUCAUUGCCCCUUGAUGAUGACAGAUACCCCCAAAUCACCCAAAGAGCAGCUUGAUUUGGUUCAGGAUCACAAGGCUCUGUCUUAGACCCCAAUCUUCCCUAAGUUUGCAGAUCCUUUUAAGCUAUAGCCCUAACAGCAGCAAGUGGUAUGUUUUUUUCUAUUCUUCUUUUACAACUAGGUGUUGGAGUAGAGAGACCCACAGCCUUGCCUUUGGUUUCAAGCAGUAAGCCUAGAUCCAACCUCCCUUCCUCCCAGUAAGUGUUUUUAGUCCCGGUUGGAGCCUAAUUCUCAGCCAACACUAUUUGCUCCUCAACCUGGGGCUAACCAGGCCUGGGUUUCAUUUAGCUCUGCUCACCACCUUAGGUAGCUGCUCUAUUACUUGUCUUGUUUCUGGGAUUCGCUAUGUCUUUUCGGUUUUGUCCUUUAUAGUUUAUAUACAGUUAUUAUGUGUAUACACAUAAUUGUUAUGAAGGUAGGUCAAAGCAUAGACUUCCUCUGAAGUCUUGGCCUGUGGACCCACCCUCACGUUUACAACUUACCACAAAGUAUACAUCACAAGGGCAGGGCCCCUAGCUGGCUAAUUCCAGUACUGUAUCUUUCAUAAUAGGUGCCAAAUAAAAGUGUGCUGAAUAUAUAAAUGAAUACAAAUCAUUUUCCUAAAAAGACAGAAAUGCCUUCAGGCACCAUGUUUCAGUUUUUCUAGUAUACUACAAACUCUUAGGGACAAAAACUAUGUCUAAUCUAUCACAUUGCCUAGUUUAUUACCCUGCAAAUGGUAAAUAGGCCAUAAAUAUUCAAAGGGCCACACGUUUCUCCUGUGGAUUUUUCAUAUGGCAAAAGGUAGUGACACCCCAGGUAUAUGCAGUGUUGCUCUAAAGGAUUAAUAUCACCAUCUUCUCCGUUGUUUUAUAACAUGUUGGUUCUUCCUUAUAAACUAUUUUUUUAAAUGAAUGCUUCUUAAGGAAAAAUGUUUCGUCUGAGAGCAGAGAUGGGCAUGCUGAAGUGGAAUAUUUUCACUAGAAUAAUGUAAAAGUGGGAAAUGUCUAACUGUAAUUAGUCAAGAAAUCAAAUGAAAAACCUUUUCCUGCUGUCUUACAAUGAGAUCAGGGACCAAAUGUAGAGGAAAUGCUAAGUGAUCACAAUUCCUCUAGCUGAAAUAACAUUUUUCAUACCGCAGACCAAAGGGCAAGGGGGACAAAGAAGUUGUCCUUGUUGAUUAAUUACUUUUGGAACCAGGCCCAGCAUAAGGAAAGAGGAGAGCCUAGUGAUAAAGCGACAGGUCCACUCUUUGUCCCCUCUGCCCUCCCAAGAAACGAUUCACUGGUUUUCUGAAAGAAAAAUGCACUUAGGUGCUUUAAACCAUGAUAUCCAUAAAGAAGAGACAUUUCCAUUUAUUUCCCAAAUGAAUUCACACCCUUCCAAUCAACAAACUCUUUAUGGCUAUAUGUAUUGAGCACUUACUGCAUACCAGGUGCACUUACUGUAUACUUUGGUGGUUACAGAAGAGUUAGAAAACCAUCUCUUGAGAGGAGCAAGUUACACGUGACAAGCAUGCCACGUAAGUUGCAUCUUAAUAAGUGCUACAGGCAAGUAAGGGAGGCGGAGGUCUGCAGGAGCAAAAUGGAUGCUGAUGACUUCAGGAAGAGGUUAGAGAUUCAAAAGACUUUGGUUAGACUUCCUAUGGAAGAUACUUAACAUCUGUGGGCCUUAGCUUACUUAUCUACUAAGUGAAGGAUUUGUGUUAGUAUUUAUAAGUUUCUUUCCAGUUGAAACACUUACUAGUUCUCUUCUUUCCUGUCCCUCUCAGUGGGACACCUGUAACCUAGUAAACAGCCUCCAUGGUCUAGAAAAUCCUUUAGAACAGAGCAAGAGCAACCAGACAAACAGAAACUUCUCUCCUCCUUCAAAAAGAUUCUAGGAGGGAAGGCUGAGAACAACCAGACCUAACUGAAGGACUAAAA
rnacentral:lncRNA from 1 species